CCCAUCGAUGCGCUGAAGCUGGGGGUGUGCGCCAACGUGCUCAACGGGCUGAUCAACCUGCAGCUGGGGACGCCGCCGAAGCAGCCGUGCUGCUCGCUGAUCCAGGGGCUCGCCGACCUGGAGGCGGCGGUGUGCCUGUGCACGGCGCUCAAGGCCAACAUCCUGGGCAUCAACCUCAACGUGCCCAUCGAUCUCAGCCUCCUCGUCAACUACUGCGGCAAGAACGUCCCCUCCGGCUUCCAGUGCCCCCGCUAGAAGAGAAGACCCGAGAGAUCCAUCGUCCACUGCAUGCAGGCAUCUACUAUACGUACGUACGUGCGUGCAUGCAUGAUCUACAAUCCAUCCAUUGACUAGUGCUCUAUAGCUAGUCGUAUACGUUAUUUGCUUCAUAAUUUAUCAUCGCACUUGCUAGUUGAUAAACUUUACAUAUGCGUGCUGCGUGUCUGUCUGUGUGGUAGUAUCGUUUGUACUACUGCUUGUCGUCGAGCUAGAUUACGGUACUGUAAUGGAUCUCAUGCGUGUACCGCUGCCUGCUACUAUUAUAUUUGCUUCAAAAAAGAGGUUAGUCCUCCUACAAUUGUAAUAAAGUAAUAUCAUAUGUCAACUUUCAGUACUAUGUGUGAUACUGUGAUCUUUAGCGUUGUCAAGUGAUUCGGUUAAAAUUGUGUGCGCUUGUGAUUUCUUAGGGCAUGCAUGCUCAGAUUGGUGUGGUCUGUGAAUUCAGUCAUGUGCUCCCUUAGUCAUCGUACUGGCAGCUGGUUAAUUAUUCUUUCCAUGCAUGCUCCGCGCGGCAUGGGUGGACUUUAGCAUGAUUUGUGCUACGUUGAUUCGAUUAAUUUUGUGGCCAUCUUUGAUUUCUUUAGGGUACACGCAGUUUAUCGGUGUAAAUUAAUCUGCUCCAAUCAAUUAGUAUAUUGCUAAAAGUUGACCGACGGAAGCAAAAAACUUAAUUAGGUUCCAUCUACCCCAUAAAUUGUCCCCGAGAGUGGGUUUUGUCAGUUCCCAGGUGUAGAGACACCCUCGUUAACAGUAAAUUAAAAAUAAAAACAAAACAAAAUCAAAAAAUAUCUGAAAAUUCGUGACAUCAAAUAAACUCAAACUUUGUAGGUGCUUUCAAGAUUUCAUGCGAAAAAACAUUCGAGGACCUCUACACACACAAAAAAAAUUCAUUACUCAAAGUUUUUUAGCACUUCUGAACACAUAUUUUGUUCUCAUGUGUGGACCUUUCUCUAAAUGAAAUUUCUCGAAAAAAAAUUCCAAGCACCUAAAACGUUUGAGCAGAUUGAUGUCACGAAAUUUCAGAUAUUUUUCUAUUUUGUCUAACUUCAUUAAUCAUGAAGGUGUCCCUACAGGCCUACACCCAGGAGCUACCACACCUUUCUUUUUCUUUUUUCUUUUUUCUUUUUUGAGGGAACUGCGGCGGGCAAGGCCAGCCUGCUACGUACCACACCUUUCUCAUCCAAAAAUGCUACACCCACGGGCAAUAUACGGAUGCGCUAACCAAUCCCUCUCCCCCGCUGAUUUCAAAGGUGGGUCCUGCUGCCCCUAGUUUCCAGUUAAACAUUAUUGCCAACUCAGUCCGUAAAUUAAUUACUUUCCGUGGCUUCUGUCCGUAAGGCUGGUCAUAGUGGGGAGUAACUUAGACUAGUAACAUGCAUAUGUUACUAGUCUAUGUUACUACUCCCUCCGUUUUAAAAUAGAUGACACAACUUUAUAUUAAUUUUAGUGCAAAGUUAAUAUAAAGUUGAGUCAACUAUUUUGGAACGGAGGGAGUACCUCUAUAGUGCAUAGUAUCAUAGAUUAGUAUCAUAGGUGGUUUCAUUUAUUGCCAUGCAUGACACAUAGUAGCAUCACAUUUAUUAUGUUACGGUAUCUACCUAUGUUAUUAUAACCAUCUCUCUGUUUUAAUUGCCUGCCACAUAAGCAUGUUUGCGAGUCCCAAGUGCAUGAUACUACUUAUGUUAUCCCCACUAUGGCCAGCCUAAGUGUAGCAAAGUUCUUUCUCAUCAGUCAUCACCCCUGAUUUUCACUUGGGGAGUGCUGUAACCUCAAAUUGUAACUUUAAUCCUGUAACCUUCAUAAUUCGUUCGUAGGUGUAGUACGGCCUCUCGUUAUAUUGUGGUUUGCCUGGUUAAAUAAAAGAGUAAUGCUAGAACUAGGUUACGGUACUGCAAUGGGUCGAGUUCUCAGCCACAUAUGAUCUCAUGCGUGUAGCGCUCGCUGCUACUAUUAUAUUUGCUUCAAAAAGAUGUUGCCCCUGGACGCGGAGUUUAUCCGCUUAGGUGAACUUUCAGUAAUAAAAUAAUCAAUAUUUUUUUUCAAGAAUACGCCAUGGCCUACCAUAGUUUUAUAGAAGGCAGAAGACAAUUUACAAGAGACUAUCUCUCGCUGCGAACAACAAGUGUAGAACACCACCCCAGACAUUACAACACUACACAAAGGAGCCAGCCCUAAGAAGAACUUCAAAGCCGUGUCUUGAGGUUACCUCAAAGAGCAACAACUGCAACCGGUCCUUCCUUGCCAAUGCACCAACUACCCAUGAGUGCCUAAAAGGAGAUGGCGACUGAGUGGCGGGACUCGGUUGGUCCCGAAAAAGCCAUCGUUUUUGACUCACCAGCAACGACGUACAUUGUGCCGAUGAAGAUCUACUUGGACCAGCAGCAAGCACCAGAGAACCACAUCACAGAACUCCAAGCCAUGUCUCCCCACGCGAUGCUCCCAACAGUCACGAUGCCAAGACGCCGCCAGUGCCGAUCCGUAAACGGACCUAGGCUUUCGCCCAGAGACAACAACCCAAGCGAGAAAGGAGGAGAUGCUGACACACCUCCGCGACGCCUCCAAGAAGGGGAACGGCACACAUAGGCACCGUCGCCGCCAGCACCAACUGUAGACGGGCAAGAUUUUCAUCCGUAACAUCGCGCACCUCCAUGCUUGCCCACUGGAUUAGGGCCACUGUCCAUGAUUGGUCACACCGCCGCCACCGCAACACCUCGCCAAAGUGAUCAUAAUGGCGUGGAACACCGACACCCCGCAUAGCCGAAGGAACACAACCCUUCUUCCUCGUCCCUCACGGCCAAGAACACGUAGCUCCAGAAACAUCCUCCAUUACCAGCACGGCAAGGACACCGCACUGCCAGCAGCAACCCACACAUCAAAGGCAGCAACACAGCGGCCGCCACCCAUUGCCCUGGAUCGGGCAGCAAGGCCCAGAUCCGGAACGCACCUCCGCCUCCAACACCUGAUCCGGCACCACCAGGAGGCCACCAUGCUCACCAGUCCACCAGCCGACGCCACCAGGAGGCCACGCCGCACAGCUGGCCGAACCGCGCUGCAUCAUAUGUCAUAUGUCAACUUUCAGUAGUACUAUCUCCUUCCUAGUUUACUAGCCCCUCUCGUAUUAUGGGCCAUAUUUUGAUCGUGAUUUUAAUUAACAAAAUACAUGUUAUACGUAGAAAAAAUAAUAUCAUUAAAAACUACAUUCAAAUACGAAUCCAACAAUAUAAUUUUCGAUGGCGUGUAUUAACAUUUUGCUAGUUAAAUAUGUGAUCAGACUUUGACCCAAAUACGAUUGGGACUAAUAAAUCAGGACGGAUGUAGUCUGUAUGAUCAUUAUCAUUGUUAUUAAGUGAUUCGAUUAAAAUUGUGGGCAUGCAUGCUCAGAUUGGUAGGGUCUGUGAACUCAUUCAUGUCCUCCCUCAGUUAUCGUAUUGGGCUAUUGGCAGCUGGUUAAUUAUUCUUUCCAUGCAUGCUCCGCGCGCCAUGAGACCUGUGUCGCGUCUCAUUAGGACCGAUACGCAUGGAUCGACACGUAUCCAUCACCCACUUGUAUGCACAUAUGUAUAUAUAUUUGUCGUGCUUUAUUCUGUACACUGCACGCACAAUUAUCUGAAAUGUGUUACAAGCAGAAGCAGGCUAGCUACACAUACCAUGCUUCCGGCCGAUGUGACCCGCAAAAAAGGACACGUAACCAUAGGCCCCUAGCCAGAGCCUAACCAUCUUUUAGAACUCCAUUUCAAAGAAGAAAUGCUAGCUAGCUAAACAUAAGCACCUGGCUGAGGGUGAUUAGCCAGCAGAUUCAAGUGCCAAGCCAAAGACGGAGCUAGGUAACAAAGAGUUUGUUCCUAUGCCUGCAAGCAUGUGGACCGCGCCCUACAAGGCAUGCACGUGUCACGGUCAAAGAUGACGGGAAAAAGAUCUGCGUGUCGACCCUGCCUCCAUCUACACCACGUACGUACCUACGGCAAACAGCAAUGUGUCUCUUUGCUAGACAUUGUCCACGCACGCAUCGUGUCAUGAUGAUGUUGUCAAUCGACCAUGCUAAAUUUGAUAAUGCUAGGAUAUGUACAUUUGGCGCGUGAAUAGAAUAGUCCUUUUGGUAAGGCCUGUCAAUUUCUUUCAAUCAUAGUCAAUUAGUUUGGCAAGAAAUAUUUGAGCAAAAUAUAUUGCGGUAAUUCUGUCUUAAAACUAGUAGUACAUCUUUUUAGAUGAUAAAUUGGGCACAUAAAGUCAUGAUGCUCCAAGAACUAGUAUUGUCCUCUCAACGAGAAAUGGACAAAAGCGGCCGCACAUAUGUCCAUGUCGCAUGGGAUUCGCAGAUUUGAGCGGCCAAGUCAGCGAGCUACAUUAUCGUUGACUUUGCACUGCGUGAGCCGUCCGGUUCCAGAACAACGGUCCGGAUAUUGUUUCACUUAUACAAUUUUACUUUAAAUAUUUCAUUUAUCGGCAACCCUCCAAACAUCUUUAUUGUCUCCUUCCUCUCAUCCCCAAUGCCAAAGCUAGCUCACAUGCAUCAUGCACCUGUUGCGAUCAGCUAUCUCGUGGUGAUCUUCUCAUGGAGAGACUGGUCGAUUACACACGUGGAGUGUGUAAAAUAUCCGUGGGCUAAUUAAGCUAGGAGCUAUUUGCCUAUUUCAACCCCUUCAUUUCUUCUUGGUCUAUAAGUACCACCCCAAGGUCCCUUGCACUGGACACACACAGCCAGAGCUAGCUCGAAUAAUCCCUGUAGUAGACGCACAGCAGCUCGGGUAGGAAGCUAUGGCGACGAAAGCGGCGGUGAUCGCCACGGUGCUGGCCCUGAACCUGCUCUUCUUCACCUUGGCCGACGACUGCGGCUGCAAGCUGCCUAGCCCGCCGCCGCCGGCCGGGGGAGGAGGAGGAGGGGGCGGCGGCGGUGGAGGCAAGGGUGGAGGAGGAGGGACCGGUGGCUGCCCGAUCGACGCGCUAAAGCUGGGGGCGUGCGCGAACGUGCUGGGCGGGCUGAUCAACCUGCGGCCGGUGACGACGCCGAAGCAGACGUGCUGCUCGCUGCUCCAGGGGCUGGCGGACCUGGAUGCGGCCGUGUGCCUGUGCACGGCUCUCAAGGCCAACAUCCUGGGCAUCCACCUCAACGUGCCCGUCGACCUCAACCUCCUCGUCAACUACUGCGGCAAGAACGUCCCCUCCGGCUUCCAGUGCCCCUAGAAGACCCCGGAAGAUCCAUCCACUGCAAAAUCUCCGGCAUGCAUAUAUGUCAUUGACUAGUAUACUACUCACGUAGCUAAUUGUAUACCUAUACUGCUUGCUUGAUAAAUCAAUCGAUGAUUUGCUAGUUUGUUUAAACUUCGUAUGUGCGCGCCACUGCUAGCUAUAAUGAAACGCUCGACAUCGAACAACUAGGUUGAUUAUUCACUUGAUGCAAUUGUCGUACGCGCCUGCUUAAUUAGUUCACGUCUCAGCACGUAGCUAGGAGUACAGCAUAUAUGUAUGAUGGGGAAUGUGCCACAAGCAAGGCUGCGUUAACGCACAAAAAUGAGUUCACCAUACUACAAACAUCGCAGACGUAUAGACUUUGCUCCUAUAUCUGCAAGCAUGUGGUCGACAUGCACGGGUCACGGUCAAAGACGAAGUAACAAAGAUCUGCAUGUCGAUCGACCCUACAUGCACUGCAUAUAGUACACCACGUCACGGUCACGGUCAAGGUCAAAGAUGAUGGGACAACAC
rnacentral:lncRNA from 1 species